AUACCCUCUUCGGGGUAGAAGCAGCCUAGAGCGUUGACAGGUGUGUUAAAGCAAAAUCUGCUGCUUUGCCUGCUUCCGGUAUGACCAAACUUCACACUAGGUCCAGACCCGGGGAUUUAAUAACUCUCUCCUACAUCUCUCCCUGUCUCCCACUUGACUAUCUGGAAGACCUCUGAAGACGUCUCUAAGGAGCACAGCCAGCAAAUGACGGAGCCUGGUGAGGUACCUGGGCAGUCUGACUUCAGAGCUGGCACCUGUGACGGCCUGUUCUACUACCCCCUGUCUUGCUCAUUUGACUGUGACCUCCCUUGAGGAAGGAGUGGCUGUACCGGUUUGCAUUUCCACCAUCGAUGUCUGAGAGAUUCUGUUGCUCCAUAUCCUCACCAGCAUUUGCUGUUGUCAGUGUUGCAGAUUUUGGCCAUUCUAACAGGAUUCUAUCGAACUAUCCUCAAGUACAGAGACUCUUUCCUCAGCAGUCCAGUGUACUAAUAAGCCCAUCAAAGAUCCAAGAAGAAUUGUUGGUUUUUCACCCUGUUCAGUUUUUACUUGUUAGGAUGGAAUGGUGACUUCCAGGUUCCUUAUAUGUGGAACCAGAAGCGGGAAGGGCUCUCCUUCCACCCUUCACGUUACAAGUCCACCAGGUGAGUUCUCCACCCAUCUCAGCUAGAGAGACUAGGUGAGUCAGGAACUUUACCAAGAUACCACAUCCUCCAGGUCAUCCCAAAGAGCCACUAAAGCCAGAAGCAUCACUCCCAGCUCUGCUCCACGGAAAAGGCUGGGAGACAGACAGUUGUGGGGGGGCCAUAUGCAAAGAAGAGACACAUUUCAAGCUUUCUUAAAUGACUUGAGACUCAAGACUCUAAAGCAUAGUUCAAGCCUUGCCCUGUGGGACAGCAUCUGGUUCCCAAUGUGAUUAGGGGAGAAAGGCAUAAUUGAGUUGGAAUAGGGAGCCCCAGUCUCCCUGUCUUCCAUCCUAAGAAGUUAUGCAAAUUAUGGCUGCUGAAUUAGACUUAAAAUAAUUAUGUUAGUGACACCAAGCUAUAGGUUCCUUUCUUCUUCUGAUGCAAAAUCUUCCUCCUAUGAGGGGAACUCUUUUACAAACUAUUUGGAAUCAAAAUACAGCUCUGUAACUGCACUAAAUAUCCACAAUUAGGAAGUUUCUUGUUGCAGUUACCUAGCUGACUACAAAAAAAUCAGGCCUGGAGGAGUCCACUGCCGCUCCAGCCUACUCACUGCAUCAGCCGUUACCCUCUCGCAGACCCUGUUCUGAGAGGCUCUAACCCUAGAAAAGACCAAAUACCCACCCUUGAUCUCCAUAGCCUGAUUUCUUUGAGGCCCCAGUAUGGGGGUGAUUACAGUUUGCAGAGCUGUGUACAAUAACAGCCAUUAGGGUAACCUUGAAUUUCUAUCAGCCAUUCUUCCUAAGAACAAUUGAAAACAUCUUCACCGUAAGAAUGUCAUCAGGUUUGCCUUCUCACCAACCCCCAAAAGAAGAAAUGGGGCAAACCCCUUCCCUUUGCAUUAAAAGGAAACAUGAGGCCUGGAGACCUCAAGGACUUAUUCACGGUUCCACCUCCCAGCAGGGCAAAGAGCUAUUGAGGGUCCCCACUUUCUGUUUCCAAAAUACUGGAGGACAAAGAUUUGACUGUUUCUCUAAUUUGUAUCUUUUCUCUCUUUCUCAUAUGGGCGUUUCUGGAUUGGGGAGUCCCUCCCAGUCUCCUCCAUUCCCUCCCCCUCCAGCGCAGAGCAAAUAGAAUCUCAGUCCGACUAGAGCUCUCACUGCCCUCAUGCCCCUUUCUAGCUCGAAGCUCUAUUGGGUAGAAGACACCACGUAGGCUGUGGCGAUGUACUUCUUGCCAUUUCCGUAGGUUGACUUGUCCCAGGUAUAGGUCUGGAUGGCCAAGGGAUGUCCACCCAGGCUUAACUGGCACCUGUGGGGAAAGAUCAGCAAAUCACAGGGACCUGCUUCACUCCACCUCCGUCCCCAAGCUGGAAGGAUCGAGUUCAGCCCACGCAGAAGGGUUCCACCCUGUCUUAGCCUCUGAGGGAGCUGCCACAGUUUGCUUCAGCCUCUGCCUCUGGCUCCCCACGUGCAAGAGGGCCCUUUCAAAAUCUGUCUUAUUUUCUGUCUUCUUAGAGAAUACUGCUCCUCAUCUUUCCUACAGGAAUAUUCUCAAAUCCAAUUCCAGAGCUGAAACCCCCAGAAAUGAAAUGUCUGCUUAGGGUUUCAGAAGUGGUUGGACCCAGAGUCCUCAAAUGUUAGAGAAGAUGAGGGCCAGUGGUUUCUAACUGUACCCUCUGGGGCUCCAGGGUUCCCCCAAACAGCCUCAGGGGCCAAAUAGAGAGGCUUGCAGCCCCAGGGCAGCUCCAUUUCUAGCUGUUCUGUGUAUUAAGCUCCUGCGUGCGAUUGCACUUGGAGGAGGGAGGGGAUGUGGUUCUGCCGCUGGGAUGAAGGUUGGCAGCGACACGACUGAUCCGAUCAACAGCUUCACGUUCCAAGACAGAAAACCGAGGCCCAGAACAGUGAUUUGUCCAAGCCCCCCUGAGCCACCAGGACUUACACUUUGCCUGGCCUGACGAUGAAGCACAGGGAGUAAAGUGCAAACUCAAACUCGGGGCUGCUGCCGAUGAAAGUUGAACUCACUUCCUUGUAGUAGCCGUCCCAGCUGAACUGCAAGGCCAGCACGUGGGGGUGAGAAUCCCACUGCGGAGAGAAGGGCGGCAAAGGGGGUCUGGUGAGUGCCACAGUGCAGAGUCGCACAGAGGGUUGGCUAGGAUUUGUCGAGGGCCCGUGGGGGCCUGUGUGAGCUUUCUGGGGAGACUGGAUUCUUUAAAUCGACAGAGGGUGCAGUCUGCCCUGCUAGGAUGUCUUGAGUCCUGCUCAAACCCUCUCUCCGGAGCCGCCAGCUCGCAUCUCCCAGGAAGGCCACAGUCGGCACCCACGUGCCCGAUGCCAGGGGAGCAGGGACAUAACCGUUCCCUGUGGCCCUCACAUGCGGAAGAGAAGGACAGUUUAUUGCCGCCAAAUUAUUUCCAGGAUCAGGGCAGCAAAGGUUUCUUUUUUUUAUAAAAAUGUAAGAAGUUUAACUCAGACUAGCCAGACUGAAACUUCAGCUGACACCACAUUCUAAGGAAAUUCAGGACUUUGGUUUUCCCCUCUAAGGAUUCUCCCCUGCCCACACUCUCCCAUCCAGAGAGGAUGCCCUCUGCCGCCUGCCCCCUGCAGCUCGGGAGCCUUCACUGUUUGGAAGCGUCCUGGCUGGCUAAACCCUCUUUCCAGCAAAUAGGGAAGUCCUAUUCACGAUCCCCGUUAGGCUGCCAAGAGGGUCAGGGUGGGAGACAAGUCUGCCUGUUUGGAAUUCAGAAUGAGGACGGGACGUCUGGGUACUGACCAGGCUUGUCCAGCCCACGGGGUCGGCACUCAGUACUCACAUGCCCGUCACAGAUGUGACUGUAGUAGUCCACGAGGCCCUCCUUCUCCUGCAUGUAGAAUUGGAUCCAGUUAUGGAAGCCAGUGACCUUGCCUUUUUUGACUUCACCUGUAAUAAACAGAUCUAGGUGGGUGAUCUGGGCCUCCCCUCCGACCUCUUUCCCCACUCCCGUGCCAAGGCUGUACCCCUUCUCCAGUCUCUGAUUCCUAGAAUGUCCAACCCAACUUCCCGGAGUCCCUCACGUCCCUAACUCUCACCUCAGAAAGCUCCACCCACCCCCCACCCCCCCACCCCCCCCCACACACACAACUCCCAUUUCAGCUGAAGCCCUUGGGAGAGUUCCUUCUCCCUGCUGACCCAGGGCCAAUCUGAGAUACUUCUCUAGCCAUUUCCCUAGGAGCAAGCCAGACUGGGUGGGAGCUUUACGGGGUGGGGCAGUGCAGAAAAAGAUCAUGGCCUCCUUAGGAAGCAACUGACCGAGGCCUGGAAGCAGAGGACCAUUGAGAGGUAGACAGGCCUCAAACACAUCUCCCUUCUUACGUGUGCACCUAGGGAGCCCCCGGUAUCUGGGCUUCUUUCUCCCUCCGAUACUCCAGAAGAAACUGGUCCUCCAAAAUGGCCCCUCAGUCCCCUCCCUCUUGGCCGGGGAGUAGACGUGCCCUGCCCUGCGAGCUGGCUUGACUGCUGAUUCAUCAGUGCUGGUGCUGCCCUGCGCCUGAGGGAAGCAUCUCUCUUCAUCCCUCCAACUCUUUCUUCCCAAGCAGAGUAAUCCCACCUGAGAAGACAUGUUCAAAGCCACCUGAGUCCCUCUCUUCUUUGCCUCUUGCAUACAGCCCAAACCACAUGUUUUUCAAGUCGUUGACGAACUCCUGUUCUGUGCUGUAGCGGUCUGGGGAGAGGAACACAGAGGACUGAGGAGAGGGGAAGGCAGAGCCAGGUCCUGGAAAGCAAGGAAGGGCCACCUGCUCCAGCGUGACAAGAGACAGGUGGGUUCAGCCAACAAAUGUAGUCAGUUGUUCGCUCAGCAGUUAUCUAUGCCAUAGAUUCUAUGGGGCACCUGUUUUGUGCCAGGCCCAGAUCUAAAGGCUGAGGAUUCAUCAGGGAAUCACAAGGACAAGAUUCCUGUCUUUAUAGUUUAUAUUCCAGUGGAGGAGACAGAUAAUAAACAAAUAAACAAUAAACAGUAUGAUUUCAGAUAAGUGCUGUGAAGAAAAUAAAGCAGAUUAUUCCAUGAUGCCUGGAGGUGGGGUUCGGGUAGGAGCUUUUCUAGAAAGGCCUCUCUCAGAAGGUAGCACUGAUCAGAGACCUGAAGGGUAAGGAGGCAGCCGUGCAAAGACCUGGGGGAAAGAGCCUUCCACGUAGAAGGAACAGCAAAUGCAAAGGCUCCAGGACACCUUGAGUUUGGUGUUUAAAGAGCUGAGGGCCCAUGCAAAGAAGGCUGGAGCUCAGUCAAACCUUAAUAAUAACAAAAAUAGUUCAGAUUUACUGAGUGUGUUCUGUGUGCCUGGCACUGUUUGAGUGCUUUCAGUCCUCACGUUGAUUCUUCACGUCAGGUUGGUACCAGGCGUUCCUGGUGGAGGAGAUGGAGGUGGGGAGUGGUGAGGUAAAGAGAAGAAUCAAAUAUAACCUCUGGGCUUUGGGCCUGAGCAACUGGAUGAAUUAUGGGGUCAUUUAUGAGAUGGGGAAGAUGAGGAAGGAGCAGGUCUGGAGGAAGAGGUGGGAACCAUGAGUUCCCUUUACACUAAGUUCUGAGUAGAUGCCAGUUAGACAGGCAGGGGAAUGUCAGGGCUGGGGAUCUGAAUUAGGGAGCUAUCAACUGUCAACGGUUCACUGCCCAGAAUUGUGUGUAGAGGACACAAAAGAGAUACCAGGCAUGUUCCCUCCUUUCAAGGAUUUAAAACACAGUUGGGGGACUUCCAUGGUGGUCCAGUGGUUAAGAAUCCGCCUUCCAAUGCAGGGGAUGGGGGGUUCGAUCCCCGGUCAGGGAACCAAGAUCCCACAUGCCAAGGGGCAACUACUGAGCCUGCAUGCCACAACUAGAGAGCCCACGCACCGCAACUACUGAGCCCACACGCCACAACUAGAGAGAAGCCCGCUCACCUCAACGAAGGGCCCGCGUGCCGCAACUAAGACCCCACGCAGCCAAAAAUAAAAAUAAAAUACAAUAAAUAAAUAUUUUUAAAAAACCACACAGUUGGAAAACAAGACUAAGAACACACGAUAGAACAGAGAACACCUUCACAAUCUGAAUGGCUACAACUUACCGGUGCCAGGCUUUCCACUGAGUGCUUUACAUGCAUGAAUCCCCCAAGACCCCAUUGCAGAGACAAGGUUCAGAUGGGGUCUGAGGGUCAAACGGCCCGGGAUCACAUGCGUCAUUAGCAAGUGAAACCAAGUCUCUCUGGCCCAAGGCUAUUUUAGGACACACUCCAAACCCUUGACCUCUGAAGAGACUCUGAAAGCCAGCUGUGAGCUGCAGCAAGUGCAGCUUCAAAAAUGAGGUGGCAUGUGAGCUAGAACUUUAAGGAUAAGUGGGAUUUGGACAGGGAGAGAUAUGAAGACCGGGUGGGUAGUGGAACAGCCUGGACUAGGUAGGGCUCAGUCUCCACCUCCAAGAUCCUCUCCUGUGUUUACUACAAAGAGAACACCAGGGGGCGGUGCAGGAUCGCGCCCUCUUCACAGGGCUUGCUUGUGUGUCACCGGCUUUACCUAAAAACAGUGUUACUAACUCUUAACGGGGCCACCGGAGGAUGGAAUGCAACGGCUCCGAGCAGAGGUGAUCCCACGGCCAGCAAGGGAUGACCGGGACGGAACCACCCCCAGGCAAGGCCCAGCUGCCCGGAGUUCAGGAAAGGAAUCUGGAGGACACUAAUAAACACACCGCAUGCCAAGAAGUCCUGCGGCCCAAACCUUUUUUGGUCUGAUUCACAUGUAUCUGUAUCUGAAGUCUCUCCAACCAGAACCCUUCCCGGUGUAACGUGCCCCUCUGAACCUUUGUUGAUUUUCUGUUGCUGUUUCCCCAGCAAAACUGU